rnacentral:rRNA from 1 species
AGUGAACGCUGGCGGUAGGCCUAACACAUGCAAGUCGAACGGCAGCACAGUAAGAGCUUGCUCUUACGGGUGGCGAGUGGCGGACGAGUGAGGAAUACAUCGGAAUCUACUUUUUCGUGGGGGAUAACGUAGGGAAACUUACGCUAAUACCGCAUACGACCUACGGGUGAAAGCAGGGGAUCUUCGGACCUUGCGCGAUUGAAUGAGCCGAUGUCGGAUUAGCUAGUUGGCGGGGUAAGGGCCCACCAAGGCGACGAUCCGUAGCUGGUCUGAGAGGAUGAUCAGCCACACUGGAACUGAGACACGGUCCAGACUCCUACGGGAGGCAGCAGUGGGGAAUAUUGGACAAUGGGCGCAAGCCUGAUCCAGCCAUACCGCGUGGGUGAAGAAGGCCUUCGGGUUGUAAAGCCCUUUUGUUGGGAAAGAAAAGCAGCAGGUUAAUACCCCGCUGUUCUGACGGUACCCAAAGAAUAAGCACCGGCUAACUUCGUG